CGGUCGUCUAUGCUAUGCCCUCUCUUGGAUCUCAGACGCGAGUUGUUUCCAGCAAUAUUACCAAAACUCCCUUAAGAACUGUUUUGAGCAUAACGAAAAGAGCCGCCGCACAAAUAUCUGCGAUUUUAAAGCAAAAUCCUAACGCUUACGCUGUGAAAGUUGGAACUCAAAGAAAGGGUUGUAACGGACUGACUUACACUUUAGACUGUGUAAAAGAAAAAGGAAGAUUUGAUGAAGAAGUUUUACAGCAUGGAGUGCGCGUCAUUGUCGACGGCAAAGCUCUAAUGGCAAUUAUAGGAUCUGAAAUGGACUGGGUGGAGGACAGACUCUCACAUUCGUUUGUUUUUAAAAAUCCCAACGUCAAGCAUUCCUGCGCAU